rnacentral:rRNA from 1 species
CCUGCCUUGGAGUGGGGAAUAACAGUUGGAAACAGCUGCUAAUACCGCAUAAUGCAGUUGAGUCGCAUGGCUCUGACUGCCAAAGAUUUAUCGCUCUGAGAUGGACUCGCGUCUGAUUAGCUAGUUGGUGGGGCAAUGGCCCACCAAGGCGACGAUCAGUAGCCGGACUGAGAGGUUGGCCGGCCACAUUGGGACUGAGACACGGCCCAGACUCCUACGGAAGGCAGCAG